rnacentral:rRNA from 1 species
GGACCUGAUAUCAAACAAGACUA